GAUGAAGAACGCAGCGAAAUGCGAUAAGUAGUGUGAAUUGCAGAAUUCAGUGAAUCAUCGAAUCUUUGAACGCACAUUGCGCCCCUUGGUAUUCCAUGGGGCAUGCCUGUUCGAGCGUCAUUUGUACCUUCAAGCUCUGCUUGGUGUUGGGCGACGUCCUCUUUGGGGACGCGCCUCGAAACGCUCGGCGGCGUGGCACCGGCUUUAAGCGUAGCAGAAUCUUUCGCUUUGGAAGUCGGGGCCCCGUCUGCCGGAAGACCUGCUCGCAAGGUUGACCUCGGAUCAGGCAGGGAUACCCGCUGAACUUAAGCAUAUCAAUAAGCGGAGGA
rnacentral:misc_RNA from 1 species